UGGAACGAAAGUCUGAUGGAGCAACGCCGCGUGAGUGAAGAAGGGUUUCGGCUCGUAAAGCUCUGUUGGUAGUGAAGAAAGAUAGAGGUAGUAACUGGCCUUUAUUUGACGGUAAUUACUUAGAAAGUCACGGCUAACUACGUGCC
rnacentral:rRNA from 1 species